UACAUAGGGGGCAAGCGUUAUCCGGAAUUAUUGGGCGUAAAGGGUGCGUAGGUGGUUAAUUAAGUCUUUGGUGUAAGUUCAGCGCUCAACGCUGUGAUGCUAAGGAAACUGGUUGACUUGAGUGUGGUAGAGGCAAGUGGAAUUCCAUGUGUAGCGGUAAAAUGCGUAAAUAUAUGGAGGAACACCGGUGGCGAAGGCGGCUUGCUGGGCCAUAACUGACACUGAGGCACGAAAGCGUGGGGAGCAAACAGGAUUAGAUACCCUGGUAGUCCACGCCGUAAACGAUGAGUACUAAGUGUAGGGGAAACUCUGUGCUGUAGUUAACGCAAUAAGUACUCCGCCUGAGUAGUACGUACGCAAGUAUGAA
rnacentral:rRNA from 1 species